CAAUUUGAAUAAAAUAGUGGGAGAAAUCUUUUGAUUAAAGUCCAAAUCUUUAGGUUUAAUGAAUCAAUUACUAAUUAGGUUAUGAUUUUUUUUGAGCAGAUAUAGCCACUUUCCUAUCGCUCCGAUCAUUGUUGGACAAUGAUAAGUUGGUGGGACCCAACUUCAGUAGCUGGUACCGAAAGUUGAAGAUAGUCCUGGAGUAUGAACGGAUCCUAUAUGUGAUAAUGG
rnacentral:lncRNA from 1 species